AGAACUUAGCAGAGAUGCUUUGGUGCCUUCGGGAACUCUGAGACAGGUGCUGCAUGGCUGUCGUCAGCUCGUGUUGUGAAAUGUUGGGUUAAGUCCCGCAACGAGCGCAACCCUUAUCCUUUGUUGCCAGCGGUCCGGCCGGGAACUCAAAGGAGACUGCCAGUGAUAAACUGGAGGAAGGUGGGGAUGACGUCAAGUCAUCAUGGCCCUUACGAGUAGGGCUACACACGUGCUACAAUGGCGCAUACAAAGAGAAGCGACCUCGCGAGAGCAAGCGGACCUCAUAAAGUGCGUCGUAGUCCGGAUUGGAGUCUGCAACUCGACUCCAUGAAGUCGGAAUCGCUAGUAAUCGUAGAUCAGAAUGCUACGGUGAAUACGUUCCCGGGCCUUGUACACACCGCCCGUCACACUAUGGGAGUGGGUUGCAAAAGAAGUAGGUAGCUUAACCUUCGGGAGGGCGCUUACCACUUUGUGAUUCAUGACUGGGGUGAAGUCGUAACAAGGUAGGCGUAGCGAG
rnacentral:rRNA from 1 species